CCGGGAAACUCACCAGAUAAGACAGCUGAAUGAUAGUCGGGCUGAAGACUCUACUUGACUAGCUGAGAGGAGGUGCAUGGCCGUCGUCAGUUCGUACUGUGAAGCAUCCUGUUAAGUCAGGCAACGAGCGAGACCCACGCCAACAGUUGCCAGCUCGUCCUCCGGGAUGGUGGGGACACUGUUGGGACCGCCUCUGCUAAAGAGGAGGAAGGAAUGGGCAACGGUAGGUCAGCAUGCCCCGAAUUAUCUGGGCUACACGCGGGCUACAAUGGGUGGGACAAUGGGUAUCGACACCGAAAGGUGAAGGCAAUCUCCUAAACCCAUCCGUAGUUCGGAUUGUGGGCUGCAACUCGCCCACAUGAAGCUGGAAUCUGUAGUAAUCGCGUUUCAACAGAACGCGGUGAAUACGUCCCUGCUCCUU
rnacentral:rRNA from 1 species